rnacentral:rRNA from 1 species
GACGAACGCUGGCGGCGUGCUUAACACAUGCAAGUCGAACGGAAAGGCCCUGCUUUUGUGGGGUGCUCGAGUGGCGAACGGGUGAGUAACACGUGAGUAACCUGCCCUUGACUUUGGGAUAACUUCAGGAAACUGGGGCUAAUACCGGAUAGGAGCUCCUGCUGCAUGGUGGGGGUUGGAAAGUUUCGGCGGUUGGGGAUGGACUCGCGGCUUAUCAGCUUGUUGGUGGGGUAGUGGCUUACCAAGGCUUUGACGGGUAGCCGGCCUGAGAGGGUGACCGGCCACAUUGGGACUGAGGGACGGCCCAGACGCCUACGGGAGGCAACAGUGGGAAAUAUUGCAGAGUGAGCGGAAGCCUGAUGCAGCAACGCCGCGUGCGGGAUGACGGCCUACGAGUUGUAAACCGCUUUCGCCUGUGACGAAGCGUGAGUAACGGUAAUGGGUAAAGAAGCACCGGCUAACUACGUG